UACGUAGGGGGCAAGCGUUAUCCGGAAUUAUUGGGCGUAAAGAGUGCGUAGGUGGUCUUGUAAGCGCGGGGUGAAAUCCCACGGCUCAACCGUGGAAGUGCACCCGAAACUGCGUAGCUAGAGUCCUGGAGAGGAAGGUGGAAUGCUUGGUGUAGAGGUGAAAUUCGUAGAUAUCAAGCGGAACACCGGUGGCGAAGGCGGCCUUCUGGACAGUGACUGACGCUGAGACGCGAAAGCGUGGGGAGCAAACAGG
rnacentral:rRNA from 1 species